GCUGGUGUAGCUCAGCUGGCAGAGCAGCGCACUCGUAAUGCGCAGGUCAUCGGUUCAAUUCCGAUCACCAGCU
rnacentral:tRNA from 1 species